rnacentral:lncRNA from 1 species
UCCCAAGCGAUACGAUAUUUGCCUCCAUCCUUCACAAGAAUUAGAUCUUCGUCAGUUUCUCUCUCUUUUUUUUUCUUCAAUAAUCCAUAACAUAAACAUAAAUUACCAUUUUUGUUUAACAAUUAGGUAUCGUCCAACAUUCCAUUUAUAAUCUGACAAGUCAGUCAUCCUGACAAUAUUAACACCACACAAGUAAGUUUAACUCAAGUUGUAUAUUCCGGUCAUUAGAAAACAAAACUAAUGCCACUAGCCCAUCACCG